rnacentral:lncRNA from 1 species
GGCCUUUAAAAAAACCUCUUAGUCAAUUGUUUAAGGGUAAAAUAUUCUUUGCAUUAUGAUAAUUUUGAUGUUAUAAAAAUGGAUUAUGGGCAAGACAUGUAUUUUUCAUUUUAAUUAUAUAGUAAAUUUAAAUCACUAUCCUUAAAAGAAAUAAUUUCUUAGCUUUUACUAAAGCUUACUCUCGUAUUUUCAUAGAAAAAAUACAUAAUGAAAUGACCUAUCUACCUUUGGAAUUAAAAAAUAAUAAUUGAUGAUGGGGGCUUUCUAUAAUUUUAAACUUUGUUGCAUGGUAAAAAGACCUUGACGCCCUUGCUAUCAAAUAAUUUAAGCCUUAGGUUAAAUGGUAUUUCUAUCAUUUUGUUGCUAUUUUUUUUUUGUAAUUAAUGAGUUGGGGUGUGGUUAUUUAAGUAUUUUCAUAAAUAAAAAAUAAUUAAAAAAAUAUGAUGAUGUGUGCUACACAAAUGUCAAUCGUUCCGUCGUCUUAGGAUGAUGCGUGCGGUUCAAGAGACCAAAAUUGUCAUUUCAGGGUUGCUUCUGAUGUGUCUCAACAUGUUCUCCAUGAAAAAGCAGCGCGUGCAUAGAUAAGUUCGCCGGUUUACCGUUGGCGGCUAUUCCUUUUUUCUUCUAUUUUCUUUCCUCUCUCUUCCUCGGUCUUUACGCCUGACCUGCAAUUUCUCAUAUCAACCAUUAAACUACUCUUUCUUUUUUAUUUAGUCCAUGUUCUUUUCUUAUUGUUUGCUUUAUUUUAAAUUAUUCAUGAAAUUAGAAUUUUAUUUCAAUUUCAUCCUCAUUCAAGUUCUUACUUUGUCAUAUUUGAUCCCAAUUCUUUUACUUGUUAUGUAUAGAGUUUGAGAUAAUUUGUUCAUUUGAAUAAUUUUUCUAAUUUCACCCUCCAUUGUUUUUUUCCCUAUUAUAUUUUUUCCUCAUUAUUUUGAUUUUUUUUCUUUGCAAAGUUUUUUAUAUUUUUUUUACUCGAUUUCAUUCUUCAACUUUUAAUUUGUUUGGAUUUUAGAUUCUUGGUUAAGUCUCUAUCAAGAAUUUCACGAGUUGCAAGUUUUGAAAAUUAACCCAACUUUAGAGGGUUCUACGAAGAGGAUGAAAUAAAAAAAAACAAAACAAAUAGCAAUCAAAAUAAUGAUGAUCAAAUCUAGUAUAAAAACUAAAUGAAAUUAAACAAUGAGAUGAAAUUAAAAAAUGAAAUAAAUCAAGAAAAUGAUAAAAAAAAUCAAUAAAAAGAUUGAGAACAAAUCUGGUAUAAAGAUUAAAUAAAAUAAAACAAUGAGGAUGAAAUUAAAAAAUAUAAUAAAUCAAGAAAAUAAAAAAAAACAAUCAAAAGAAUGAGAACCAAAUUUGGUAUAAAAAUUAAAUGAAAUAAAAUAAUGAGGGAUAAAAUUAAUGAAUAAAUAAAUAAAUGAUAAAAACUAAGAAAUAACAAUAAAAAGAUUGAGGACCAAAUAUGAUAGAUGAAAAAAUUGAAGGAGGUUAAGAUUGAAAAAAAUUCUAAUUUUAUAUAUUAAUUUAAAUAAAAAUAAUAAUAAAAAGAACAGAGACUAAAUUCGAAGGAAAAACAAAUUAAAGGGAAACUUGGAAAAAUUAGAGGGGUAGGCGUGGAAAUUGGGGUUGUGAGAGAAAAGAAGAAAAAAAUACCUCGAGUGUUAAACUGUAGAUCUG